rnacentral:rRNA from 1 species
AACGAACGCUGGCGGCAGGCUUAACACAUGCAAGUCGAACGGGCACCUUCGGGUGUCAGUGGCAGACGGGUGAGUAACGCGUGGGAACGUACCCUUCGGUUCGGAAUAACCCAGGGAAACUUGGGCUAAUACCGGAUACGUCCGUAAGGAGAAAGAUUUAUUGCCGAAGGAUCGGCCCGCGUCGGAUUAGCUAGUUGGUGGGGUAAUGGCCCACCAAGGCGACGAUCCGUAGCUGGUCUGAGAGGAUGAUCAGCCACACUGGGACUGAGACACGGCCCAGACUCCUACGGGAGGCAGCAGUGGGGAAUAUUGGACAAUGGGCGAAAGCCUGAUCCAGCCAUGCCGCGUGAGUGAAGAAGGCCUUAGGGUUGUAAAGCUCUUUCAGCGGGGAAGAUAAUGACGGUACCCGCAGAAGAAGUCCCGGCUAACUUCGUGCCA